rnacentral:rRNA from 1 species
ACUACGGCUGGCGGCGUGCCUAAUACGAUGCAAGUCGAACGGGAUUCUUUGAUCAGCUUGCUGAGAGAAGGAUCUAGUGGCGGACGGGUGAGUAACGCGUGGGAAUCUGCCUCUUACUGGGGGAUAACAGUGGGAAACUACUGCUAAUACCGCAUAAGAUCUUCGGAUGAAAGGUGCAACUGCACCGGUAAGAGAUGAGCCCGCGUCCCAUUAGCUAGUUGGUGAGGUAAAGGCUCACCAAGGCGACGAUGGGUAGCCGGCCUGAGAGGGUGAACGGCCACACUGGGACUGAGACACGGCCCAGACUCCUACGGGAGGCAGCAGUAGGGAAUCUUCCGCAAUGGGCGCAAGCCUGACGGAGCGACGCCGCGUGAGUGAUGAAGGCCUUCGGGUCGUAAAGCUCUGUUCUUGAGGACGAAUAAGCCAGGGAGUGGAAAGCCCUGGUGAUGACUGUACUCAAGGAGAAAGCUCCGGCUAACUACGUG